rnacentral:misc_RNA from 1 species
UCGGACUACUAGGGUUUCUAAUCCUGUUUGCUCCCCACGCUUUCGAGCCUCAGCGUCAGUUAUCGUCCAGUAAGCCGCCUUCGCCACUGGUGUUCCUCCUAAUAUCUACGCAUUUCACCGCUACACUAGGAAUUCCGCUUACCCCUCCGACACUCUAGUACGACAGUUUCCAAUGCAGUACCGGGGUUGAGCCCCGGGCUUUCACAUCUGGUUUGCCAUGCCGUCUACGCUCCCUUUACACCCAGUAAAUCCGGAUAACGCUUGCCCCCUACGUAUUACCGCGGCUGCUGGCACGUAGUUAGCCGGGGCUUCUUAGUCAGGUACCGUCAUUUUCUUCCCUGCUGAUAGAGCUUUACAUACCGAAAUACUUCAUCGCUCACGCGGCGUCGCUGCAUCAGGG